GCUUCAAGAUCACAUUUUAAUGCAAACAUUAAUAUCAAGCUGGACUUGUUUCACUGCAUGAGGCGGUUCCUCCGUGAGUGUGUGUCGGAGCAUCACGCCCUGUACAGUUCCUUUGCUCAGUUCCUCUGGACUGGGACAAGCACAACAGCAAGACAGAUCACACCCAGGCCCCGAAUCCACCUCCUCAAAGUGAUCCACUCGCUACCCAGUCGGAGGUUCCUCUGUCAUCCUCACUGGCACCAUCAAGAAACUCCACGUCCGCCGUCGCUGGCAGUUAUCGACCAGCUGCUCAACAAACCCCGUGAGCAGAAAGACAUGCUGAAGCUUGUGGACCAGGACUACGCUGCUCUAGUUCACAACUCCUGUACAGACCCCAACAGCAUGCUCCACCCAACAACAAAACUAUAUAUUCUACAAUAUGUAAAGCACCUCAGCAAAUUGUUGAACACCAGUUCCUCUUUAAACGUCAGUCCAGAAAAACUGCAAGAGAGGCAGAAACUCUGUCACUCU
ensembl:lncRNA